rnacentral:tRNA from 1 species
GCCUGGGUGGCUCAGCCGGUUGAGCUUUUGACUUCGGCUUAGGUCAUGAUCUCAUGAUUUGUGGGUUCAAGCCCCACUUUGGGCA